UUUAUAGUAGUCCAUAUAUAAGACCUUUCACUGUUAAUGAAAAAAUGAGUGCUACUCCUAUAGAA
rnacentral:tRNA from 1 species